rnacentral:ncRNA from 1 species
GAACCUCGUGCGGGAGAGUCCGUUGUCACUCUGAUGGGUGGCGGCGGCGCCGAAGGAGCAACUCCUCCCCGGAACCUCUCAGGCAGCAGGGACCGCACGAGACAG